rnacentral:rRNA from 1 species
GAAGAGUUUGAUCAUGGCUCAGAUUGAACGCUGGCGGCAGGCCUAACACAUGCAAGUCGAACGGUAACAGGAAGCAGCUUGCUGCUUUGCUGACGAGUGGCGGACGGGUGAGUAAUGUCUGGGAAACUGCCUGAUGGAGGGGGAUAACUACUGGAAACGGUGGCUAAUACCGCAUAACGUCGCAAGACCAAAGAGGGGGACCUUCGGGCCUCUUGCCAUCAGAUGUGCCCAGAUGGGAUUAGCUUGUUGGUGAGGUAACGGCUCACCAAGGCGACGAUCCCUAGCUGGUCUGAGAGGAUGACCAGCCACACUGGAACUGAGACACGGUCCAGACUCCUACGGGAGGCAGCAGUGGGGAAUAUUGCACAAUGGGCGCAAGCCUGAUGCAGCCAUGCCGCGUGUAUGAAGAAGGCCUUCGGGUUGUAAAGUACUUUCAGCGGGGAGGAAGGUGUUGUGGUUAAUAACCGCAGCAAUUGACGUUACCCGCAGAAGAAGCACCGGCUAACUCCGUGCCAGCAGCCGCGGUAAUACGGAGGGUGCAAGCGUUAAUCGGAAUUACUGGGCGUAAAGCGCACGCAGGCGGUCUGUCAAGUCGGAUGUGAAAUCCCCGGGCUCAACCUGGGAACUGCAUUCGAAACUGGCAGGCUUGAGUCUUGUAGAGGGGGGUAGAAUUCCAGGUGUAGCGGUGAAAUGCGUAGAGAUCUGGAGGAAUACCGGUGGCGAAGGCGGCCCCCUGGACAAAGACUGACGCUCAGGUGCGAAAGCGUGGGGAGCAAACAGGAUUAGAUACCCUGGUAGUCCACGCCGUAAACGAUGUCUACUUGGAGGUUGUGCCCUUGAGGCGUGGCUUCCGGAGCUAACGCGUUAAGUAGACCGCCUGGGGAGUACGGCCGCAAGGUUAAAACUCAAAUGAAUUGACGGGGGCCCGCACAAGCGGUGGAGCAUGUGGUUUAAUUCGAUGCAACGCGAAGAACCUUACCUGGUCUUGACAUCCACGGAAGAAUUCAGAGAUGGAUUUGUGCCUUCGGG